AGUGAACGCUGGCGGUAGGCCUAACACAUGCAAGUCGAACGGCAGCACAGUAAGAGCUUGCUCUUACGGGUGGCGAGUGGCGGACGGGUGAGGUAUACAUCGGAAUCUACUUUUUCGUGGGGGAUAACGUAGGGAAACUUACGCUAAUAUCGCAUACGACCUACGGGUGAAAGCAGGGGAUCUUCGGACCUUGCGCGAUUGAAUGAGCCGAUGUCGGAUUAGCUAGUUGGCGGGGUAAAGGCCCACCAAGGCGACGAUCCGUAGCUGGUCUGAGAGGAUGAUCAGCCACACUGGAACUGAGACGCGGUCCAGACUCCUACGGGAGGCAGCAGUGGGGAAUAUUGGACAAUGGGCGCAAGCCUGAUCCAGCCAUACCGCGUGGGUGAAGAAGGCCUUCGGGUUGUAAAGCCCUUUUGUUGGGAAAGAAAAGCAGCAGGUUAAUACCCCGCUGUUCUGACGGUACCCAAAGAAGAAGCACCGGCUAACUUCGUG
rnacentral:rRNA from 1 species